rnacentral:lncRNA from 1 species
AGGAGAGUGAGGUGGCAUUCACAAAUGUGAAUGUGAGUAAUGUAAGUUUGUCAGACCUUCUGCUUCUAAAAAAACAGAUUUUGGUGAUAGAAUUAGAUAAGGUUUUAUUUCAAACUUGCAUAACUCAGCAUUAUGCCAUGAAAGUCUUCAUGCUUUAAUUUCCUGCUAAAUUUCAUGGUCCAAAAAAAAUCAACAGAUGCUGAAGAAAAUGAUAUUUAUGUAAAAGAGCUUCUAAUUCAAUAUGAAAAUAAUAAAAGAAGACCUAUUCAGGCAACUCAAAAAAUCUGGGCAGAAUUUUUUUGAAGUCCAGGAAUUUCUCCUAAAGGGUACCAGCAUGUUACAGUGACCAGAUGACACUGAUGCAGUGCUCCCACACGCAGACACCUCUUCCCCAACAGCAGGCAUGUUCCUCACAACUUUUGGCUUCCCCCUCUUCACAUCAAUUUAACUGCGAUUGGUACUUUUGCUACCGUGACCCCAACUUUGAUUUUUAUCCACCCUAAACGAUUACACUUAAGAAAAAGAUUUCGGAGUUCCUGUCGUGGCUCAGUGGUUAACGAAUCCAACUGGGAACCAUGAGGUUGUGGGUUCAGUCUCUGGCCUUGCUCAGUGGGUUAAGGAUCCGACAUUGGGGUGAGCUGUGCUGUAGGUCGCAGACAUGGCUCGGAUCCCACGUUGCUGUGGCUCUGGCGUAGGCCAGGGGCUACAGCUCCGAUUCGACCCCUAGCCUGGGAACCUCCAUAUUCCACAGAUGCAGCCCUAGAAAAGACAAAAAGAAAAAAGAAAAAAGAAAAAUAUUUCAAGGAAAUUCCCAUUAUGGCUCAGUGGGUUAUGAAUCCGACUAGUAUCCAUGAGGGUGGGGGUUCCAUUCCUGGCCUCACUCAGUGAGCUAAUGAUCCAGCGUUGCCAUGGCAUGUGGGCGGCUGCAGCUCUGAUUUGACUGCGAGCCUGGGAACUUACAUGUGCCACAGGUACAGCCCUAAAAAACAAACAAACAAACAAACAAACAAACAAAAACCCUAAAAAAAAAGAAAAAAAAUUUCAAAAACAUGGAUAUCCCUCAGCUAGCCAUCUUACAAAUAAGUGCCACUGAACUCAAAGCAAACUUGAAGAGAGUAUGAACAUCCAUAUGUGGUUUUGGAUACAUAAAAAAAGCACUCCAAAACUUAGUGCUUAGAACAACCACAAUCAUCAUUUUAUCCCUAAAGAUACCGUGAGUUAACUGGGCUCAGCUAGGCGGUUCUGCUCCAUGUGCUGUCAGCUGGGGCUGCACUCCUCCAGGGACCGGACAAGGGAGACUCCAAGAUGCCUCCUUCACAUGUUGCUGGAAGCUCAGCUGGGGGCCGUUGACUGAGUACCUGGUUUCUUCUCCACAUAGUCUCUCCCUGUUGCUUGGGCUUCUUGCAGGGUUCCAGGAAGUAUCAUUACUCAGCAUCACUUCUGUCACAUUCUAUUACCAAAAUAUAUCAGGAUAAACUCAGUACAAGAAGGGAAAAUGACUGUCUCUUCACUAUCCAUCACACUAUCCAAAUCCAUCAUACCUGUGGAGGAGAAACAAAAAGGUUUUAUUUGGGGGCACUAAUUCCAUUGUUGUUUAUAAAGCACCUUCACUCAGUCAACACAAUCCUAAUAGAGACCUAAGGGACUGACUCACUCCUUUUGGAUCUUCUUCAAGGCAAGAACUGAGCGAGAACUUCUCCAAUUACUCAGGUUGCGUUCUGACUUCAAGGGGCCCCUUGGGGCUAUUUAAAGAAUCACGGGGCUCUGUGGGUUUGAAACUCCCUGUGGUUCAGAACCCUAUUUAGGAUUUACUUUGAACUGUGUAAAUGUCAACACAACCCAAAUAAUUGUCCAACAGAUUCUGCCCAAUGAAAGAAGUGUGGUCCACUUAGGGACAAUGGUUAAGAGGGAGAGGACUACAACCGAUUUCUCUGUCCGGGAGUUAAAAUUAUUUCUAAAAUCACCACUCAUUUUUAUUGUUUAUAUUCCACCAGAAUAUCAGACUAGAGAAAAUAGGGUUAUGGAUUCAGUUCCCAUGAAGUCUUUGCUUUCACCAUACCUCUAAGCCAAACUGGCCACAUUGUAAACCUUGACUCGCCAAUGGAUCUGAAAGAGAGGAUACAGUUCAGUGUGACUCCUUCCUUGACCCUGAGAACACCUCAAACUCAGGGGCCUUCUCUUGAAUGCCACUCAACUUCUUCCUACUUCUCUUCGUCCCAGUCUCCCUGGGAAAGAAAGUAACUGCUAUUGAAUUCUUACUCUGUAUCACCCACUCUGCUAGGAUUUUUUUUUUUCUUUUCUUUUUGUUAAACCAGUAUGUCGUAAUUCAAUCAUUAUCAUACAGGGUUUUGCACACUAGGAGCAUUCAAUAAAUAACUCUCAUUGAACUUGCUGAGAUAAGUUAUGAGGCUGGUGACCAACCGUGGCAUUAGCAAUGUUUCACUGGGUGAAAAAUCUCACACAUUUUUAAGGACAGCUUCCCUUGGUUCUCAAGUACAGAAGCUGGAUAUCCUUGCCAGAGCUAGAAAUAUAUUAUUUUGGGGCUUAUAUAAGCUCAGUAUAUGAUAUUACAUUUGUAAAACAUGGUCAUAAACCCUGAAGAAACAGAAGGCAUUUUCAUAAUUGUACUUUAACCCAUGUAAGAUAUUUUGUCAUGAAGGCAUUUUCGUAAUUGUGCUUUAACCCGUGUACGAUAUUUUGUCAUGAAAUAUCUGCACAAAAUACCAUUUGACCAUGAUUUGGAGAUGUUGCUUAUUGCAAGCAUUUUACAAGCUAAUUCUGGAUGAAUCUACUACUUUAGCACAUUUGCAGUUCUCAAAAAUAGGAAUUCCAUCCAGAAUGGAAUGGCAAUUUCCCCUCAGAGUGUGAGUGAUCAUUCUCAUUUUGUUUAAAUAUUUCAAUAUACCAAAUUUAAUCAAAGUGGGUUUAAUUAUCCCCUUCCUCUGUCCCCAUUUCCAGUUUUGCCUUCACCCCUGACUUCCACCAGAUUGUCUUUAGCAGAGUUUAACAGCCACACAUUUUUCUUUCUUAAAUUAUUGCCAAGAUAAUAUACCUUUGAGUUUCUAAGAAGCUAAGUAACCUUUUCAAAUUAGAAUAAAUCAUCUUUAGAAAUCAAAAGGCAUUUUAAUGACAGGACAACUCAUCUGGCUUUUGGAAACUGAGAUUACAUUAAAGAAAUCUACUGAUUGGAGUUCCCCCUGUGGUGCAGUGGGUUAAGAAUUCAAAUUCAGAGGCUCAGGUUACUGUGGAGGUUCAGGUUCCAUCUCCAGCCCAGCAAGGUGGGUUAAGGAUCUGGUGUUGCUGCAGCUCUGGCUUGGAUUCUAGCCCAGGAAUUUCCAUAUGCUGUGGGUGUGGCC